GGCGGGCCGCGCGGCGGGAAGAUGGCGGCCGCCAUGAGGGCGGGUGUGGGGCGCCUGGGCCUGAGGGCGAGCUGGCGGACUGCGGAGUCGAUGCUCUGGCCUGCUGGAGUGGCUCCGGCCUGCCUUCGUAUCCCCGUGAGAACGAAGAAGAAGAGGUUUUUUGUCCCCGAGUGGGCCAGGGAACUGACCCCUGAAGAGAAAGAGAGGAGGCUCAAGUCUUUGGGGACAAUGUUUCCCGAGGAGCGCUUAGAACGGACUUUCUACUUGGCCUGCACAGCUGAUAUUAUAGACCCUUACGUGCCUCCUGAGGGUGAUGCCCGCUUGAGUUCCCUAUCCAAAGAUGGGCUGAAGCAAAAGGUGGAGAAGCUGAAGCAGACGGCUGCCUCCCAGCUAGCUCUGCGGAAGAUAAAAGAUCAUGACCUGGAUUUCAGCACUAAAACCUUCCCAGAGAAGGCACAGGAGAUAUUUAUUGAAGCUCACAACUGCCUGGUGAAUUUUAACAAGCAGAAACUUCACUCCCUGGUGACAGAGCGCUGCUACCCGGAAAUGGUCCGUGGGAACAGGUACAAGACCAUCCGGUGGAGCUUUGUGGAGUCACUGGAGCCUCCAAGAGUGGUUCACAUUCGCUGCAGCAGCAUCAUCAAUCGGGGCAACCUGUACGGGCAGGUGACAGUGCGGAUGCACACCCGGCAGAUCCUGGCAAUCUAUGACCGCUUUGGGCGGCUGAUGUAUGGUGGGGAGCAAGUGCCCAAGGACGUUUUGGAGUAUGUGGUGUUUGAGAGGUACUUGGUCAACCCUUAUGGCACGUGGAGGAUGCACGGCAAGAUUGUUCCCGAGUGGGCUCCACCAAAGGACCCCAUCAUUAAGACGGUGCUGAUUCCUGGCCCAACUUUGAGUCCCUCACAAGAGUAUGAAGAAACAAAGUAGGAGGUUCCAGAGCUUGCACAGAGACAGCAGCACAAACAGCCCCUGGAGGGAAGGAGUGAAGGGUGUCUCUGGAGGAAGUGGGUUGGAUAUGGCUCUGUCUUUCCAGUGAGCAGUCAGCAAGUUGAAUGGACCCACUCACUAAGAAGUUCUUUAAAGGACCAAGAGGGGCCUUGGAGGGGGAUUCAGAUGUGCUCUGUGGAGAGCUUUACUCUGUCCAAGUAGCCUUGAUGUGCUGCAGCUUCACCCUCUCUGUGUUUCUGUGAAGACAAGAAGUCUGAUCUCUUCAGAGCUGCUCUCUAGGCUGACCUCAGUCCUGAACCUGCAUCACAAGAGCACUUGGCAGCAGAGGUGCUGCAGUUGUGCUUCUGCUGAACAGCUGUUUGAUCAUGGCCAACCUUCCCAGAGGGGCUGCAGCACAGUACUGGGAAUUUAAUGACAUUUUUAGCCUUCUAAGGUCACCGUUUGUGUCAACCACCACCUUUGGGACAGGCAGCAUUUCGAGUUCUGGCACAUUCUUUGCUGAUGAUUCAGUGGUGGGUGCUGUUGGUGAGCAGUUGGCACCAUCCAGUGGACAGGGUGAGUCUCAUCAGGUCUCCUGCCUUUGCAGGCUGCCUGGGUCAGGAAAACACCUGCCCAGAGGUUACCUUUGUGGCUGGGAGUAAGCCAGUGCACUAUGGUCACCUGCUAACUUCCAUUUAGUCCUAAUCACAGAGCAAAAUAUUCACUAGUCCUCCAACGAUGACGCAUUUUCUUUUUUCAGCCUUGUUCUACUCUUUAACUCAGCCAUUUCCCAGAGCCUGUGAGCAUCAAGUGUGUUUUCUUCCUUGAAAGAGAUUUUGUGAAGGAGUUACAUCUCCUUAUGCUUGCAGGGUUGCUCAGUAUUUCUUGUGAAUGAUCUCCUUUUGGAAGGGCAGAAUAUCAUCUUUAUGCUCUGUUAGGAGAGGAGCCAGCAGUGGAAUCCCUUUCAUCUUUCUGGAAAUCAGAGGGGUGUCACAAUCUGUCUGCCUUUCCUGAAAGAGCCUACUGUAUUGAGCGCUCUGCCUACGCUUCCUUCACGGGCUGAGAAGAGACUCGGUGCUGCAGCAUCUGUUAGCUGGGCCAGGAGCUAAAGAAAAUCAGUGUGAGCUGCCUGGGCUGUGUCUGGUGUGACUCAGGGGGCUUACGUGCAGGUAUGGAUGUUACUCCUUACCCAAAACUUGAUGGAAAGGCUCUUCAGUUCAGGCUCUGGGUGGAAAGAGUGUGUUUUCUGGUGGAGUUUUCUGGGACACUGACUUUCCCUUCCCAUUUAGCACUGUCUGCCUCUCCAUCUCAUUUGCCAAUACUCAAACCUCUGCAACCAAAGUGCUUCUGUUGCUGGAUGUCCCUCAUGGCCUCACUGCUUUCUGGGGUACCUCCUCCUUCAGCAUAUUUAUCAUAGAGUUAUAGAAUUGUUUCAGUUGCAAAAGCCCUUGAAGCUGCUGCAGUCCCAGCCCUGCCCUCACCCUGCCCAGCCCACCACUAACCCACGGCCCUCAGCACCUCAGCUCCACGGCUUUGGGAUCCCUCCAGGCCUGGGCACCCCCCGCAGCUCCCUGGGCAGCCUGGCACAGGGGCUGACACCCCUCUCAGGGAAAAAUUUCUUCCCAAUCUCAUCUUGGCACAACUUGAGGGUGUUUCCUCUUGUCUUGUUAGCUGGGGAGGAGUGACAGACACUGUGCCCCACCACUCCCCAGGCCACAGCCUCCUGUCAGGGAGUUGCAGAGAGAGAGAAGGUUUCUCCCCAACUCCCUCAGCUGUCAGAGUUGUGCUCCAGCUCCUUCCCCAGCUGUAGUGGUUGUACCUGGGCCAGGUUUUGGUAAUGGGGAACUACAGGGGUGGCUUCUUUAAGCAAAGAUCUGCCAGAAGCUUCCACUGCAGCUGACAGGGCUAGUGCCAGUCAGUUCUAAGAUGGAUCCAGGCCUGGCCAGUUAGUGGCUGAUUCAGUUUUAUUUCUCAUCU